GACGAACGCUGGCGGCGUGCUUAACACAUGCAAGUCGAACGGGAAGGCCCUGCUUUUUUGGGGUGCUCGAGUGGCGAAAGGGUGAGUAACACGUGAGUAACCUGCCCUUGACUUUGGGAUAACUUCAGGGAACUGGGGCUAAUACCGGAUAGGAGCUCCUGCUGCCUGGUGGGGGGUUGAAAGUUUCGGCGGUUGGGGAUGGACUCGCGGCUUAUCAGCUUGUUGGUGGGGUAGUGGCUUACGAAGGCUUUGACGGGUAGCCGGCCUGAGAGGGUGACCGGCCACAUUGGGACUGAGAUACGGCCCAGACUCCUACGGGAGGCAGCAGUGGGGAAUAUUGCACAAUGGGCGGAAGCCUGAUGCAGCAACGCCGCGUGCGGGAUGACGGCCUUCGGGUUGUAAACCGCUUUCGCCUGUGACGAAGCGUGAGUGACGGUAAUGGGUAAAGAAGCACCGGCUAACUACGUG
rnacentral:rRNA from 1 species